CUGUCUAACUUAAAGCAAUCAGAGAAUUCUAAAUUGAAUCUUCUUGCCUGCAAUCCUUUGCCUUCUAGCACAGAUAACCAUGUCUGGAGUUAAGGGUCAUCAAACAAAAUGCCCAGAUCCAUGCCCUCCACCACAGAAAUGCAAAGAUCCUUGCAAGGAUCCUUGCCCUAAGCCAGUCCCACAAUGCCACGACCCAUGCCAGAAGACUCAUCAACAUCAGGGGCAUGGUCAAGACCAUAGCCAAGGCCAUAGCCAGGGCAAUAACCAAUCCCAUCACUGAAGGAUAUAAUGAAAUGAGAAUCUCGACUUUUGUCUUUUACGCUACACUAAAGGAUACAAUGAGACAACAAUCUGCUGGUGGCUGAAGCUUUCUAUAAUCUAAAAUGAUUUCACAAUUUAAAAAUAAAAAUCCUGGAGAUUAAUAAUAAAUGGUUCCAUUUAAAGAGCA